rnacentral:misc_RNA from 1 species
GUUUCAUCUUAGCUCGUUCGAUUUCGCCUGAAAAAUGAUGCCACAAAGUGGAGUUGCUCAGCCAGCAAUGGCACCUAUGUCAAUGGAUCAGUAUCAGCAGCAAGCUCCGCCGACGCAGCAGCAACAACAAUGGAUGAUGCAACCUCCGCAAGCUCAACAACCUCAAUUUCAACCUUCUUGGGGUCAGCAGCAACAACAGCCAUCGCAAACUAUGUCUCAACAGUAUGUUGCGACUAAUUCUAGCCCUAGCUCGAAUGUUAAUCCAAAUGAGGUUAGGUCUCUUUGGAUUGGGGACUUGCAGUAUUGGAUGGAUGAGAGUUAUCUCUCCACUUGUUUCUAUCACACCGGCGAGCUUGUUUCUGCUAAGGUCAUCAGGAACAAGCAAAGUGGCCAGUCUGAAGGUUAUGGAUUCCUCGAAUUCAGGAGUCAUGCGGCUGCAGAAACUGUUUUACAAACAUAUAAUGGCGCCUUGAUGCCAAAUGUGGAACAGAAUUUCCGUAUGAACUGGGCAUCUCUUGGUGCCGGUGAGAGGCGAGAUGAUUCACCCGAGUACACAAUAUUUGUUGGUGAUUUGGCUGCUGAUGUGACGGAUUAUGUGCUACAAGAGACAUUCAAACCCGUGUAUUCAUCAGUAAAAGGUGCAAAAGUUGUAACAGAUAGAAUUACUGGACGUACCAAGGGAUAUGGAUUUGUCAAGUUCUCUGAUGAGAGUGAACAAUUGCGUGCUAUGACUGAAAUGAAUGGU